rnacentral:rRNA from 1 species
AGUGAACGCUGGCGGUAGGCCUAACACAUGCAAGUCGAACGGCAGCACAGUAAGAGCUUGCUCUUACGGGUGGCGAGUGGCGGACGGGUGAGGAAUACAUCGGAAUCUACUUUUUCGUGGGGGAUAACGUAGGGAAACUUACGCUAAUACCGCAUACGACCUACGGGUGAAAGCAGGGGAUCUUUGGACCUUGCGCGAUUGAAUGAGCCGAUGUCGGAUUAGCUAGUUGGCGGGGUAAAGGCCCACCAAGGCGACGAUCCGUAGCUGGUCUGAGAGGAUGAUCGGCACACUGGAAAGUGAAACACGUUCCGACCCCCUCGGGGGGGAGGCGGGGGGAAUUUUGGGAAAAGGGGGGAAACCCUACACCGGACAUCCGGGGGGGGGAAAAAAGCCCUUGGGGUUGAAAAGCCUUUUUGUUGGGAAAAAAAAGGGGGAGGUUAAUACCCCGCUGUUCUGAGGGUCCCAAAAAAAAAAGCACCGGCAAACUUCGG